rnacentral:lncRNA from 1 species
AAAGCUGGGAUUUCAGCCUCGGAGGGGCCUCCCAAGCCACCCUCCUGUGCCUGUAUCCAUGAAGAGAGAGAUACGAGGAGCUCCUGUGAUUUGGUCAGCUCAACAGUUCAGGAGAGAACCCCAGUUGUGUUUCCUCAGAGGAAAUGAACUGGGCAUGGCAUUCACGUUGGAUCGCAGAAACGCACAAGCCCAAUAGCUUCCAGAUUGCUGCUCCGGCGUGCCAUGCUGGGAGCCCCCCUCCAGUGGAGCUACUCUCUUCAUACCCCCAUCUGGGUUUGAAGCCCAGCCUGUGUCCUGCCUGACCUGGCCCUGGGAGAGCACUGGAAGGAAUCCAAGGCAUUUCCAGAGACCAGGUAGGCACAUGGUCAAGAAUGGACGAUUUAAGUGUUGCUGCUACUUGCUGUGUGUGCCUACCCUUGAGCCCACCCCUGCCUUGGAGGAGCUGACCAGCUUUGGGGGAUCCCACCACUUUUAUGGCCGUCUGCAUCCUUCUGAAGUUAUGCCAGCACAGCACAGCCUCCAGACAGAAUUCCAGACUUUAAGAGCUAGAGUGAACUAUAGAGACCAUGGGGUCUGCUACUGACCCCCCACCCCAGCUGCAGAUGGGAAACUGAGGCACAGGGAGGGGUAAGUAUCAGCCCAAGGCCCUACUGCCUAUAAGUGGUC